rnacentral:rRNA from 1 species
GGAAGGUGCGAGCGUUAAUCGGAAUUACUGGGCGUAAAGCGAGCGUAGGCUGUUAAUUAAGUCGAAUGUGAAAUCCCCGGGCUCAACCUGGGAACUGCAUUCGAAACAUUUUGACUAGAGUAUGGGAGAGGAAAGUAGAAUUUCCGGUGUAGCGAUGAAAUGCGUAGAUAUCGGAAGGAAUACCAGUGGCGAAGGCGGCUUUCUGGAACCAUACUGACACUGAGGUUCGAAAGCGUGGGGAGCCAACCAGGAUUAGAUACCCUG